GAGUUUGAUCGUGGCUCAGGAUGAACGCUAGCGGCAGGCCUAAUACAUGCAAGCUGAACGGUAAAUAUUGUAGCAAUACGAUAUGAGAGUAGCGUAAGGGUGCGUAACACGUAUGCAAUCUGCCCUGUACAGGAGGAUAGCUCGGGGAAACCCGGAUUAAUACUCCGUAAUAUUAUUGGGGGGCAUCUCCUGAUAAUUAAAGUCGCAAGAUGGUACAGGAUGAGCAUGCGUCUGAUUAGUUAGUUGGCGGUGUAACGGACCACCAAGACGAUGAUCAGUAGGGGAACUGAGAGGUUGAUCCCCCACACUGGCACUGAGAUACGGGCCAGACUCCUACGGGAGGCAGCAGUAGGGAAUAUUGGUCAAUGGAUGCAAGUCUGAACCAGCCAUGCCGCGUGCAGGAGAAGGCCCUAUGGGUUGUAAACUACUUUUGCCAGGGGAUAAAAUGGGCAUGCGUGCCUAAUUGAAGGUACCUGGUGAAUAAGCCACGGCUAACUACGU
rnacentral:rRNA from 1 species